rnacentral:rRNA from 1 species
AAUUUAAUAUUUAUUUAUAAAAGUUUUUAAAUUUAUUUUUAAUAAAAAUAAUUUUAAUUAUAAGGUUUUUGUAUUUUUUGAAGAUAAAAUAAAUUUUAUUAUAGUGAAGUAGUAUUGAGAAAGAAAAUUGAAAUAUUAUGAAAAUUUAAUUUUUUAAAAGUUGUAUUAAUUUUAUGUACCUUUUGUAUCAGGGUUAAUUAAAAAAUAAUUAAAUAUUUUAAUUUUCUCGAAUUUAAGAGAGCUAAUUUAUUAUAAAAGUUAACGUAGUAUAGUUAUUUUAAAUAAUUUGUUAGUAAUGAAAUGUUAUUCGUUCUUAAAUAUAUCUAGUUUUUUAAGAAAUAAAUUUAAUUUAUAUAUUAUUAAUAAAAAUUGUUAAAUAAAUAAUAAUUUUUUAUAUUAAUAUAAAUAUAUUAAGGGAUAAGCUUUAAUUUAUUAUCUAUAAUUAAAUUAAUAUAAAUUAAAUUGUAAAUUUAGAAAUAGUUAUCAAUAAAAAUUUUGUUUUAAUUUAUUUUAUUAUAAAUAUGAUUUUAUAAAAUUUAGAUAAUUUAUUAAAAUAAUUAUUUUAAUUUAAAAAAUAAUUUAAUAAUGAUUAAAUUAGUAUAAAUUUUUGUUUAGAUAAUUAGUUAAUUUAGAUUAAUUAAAGGAAUUCGGCAAAUAUAAUACUCACCUGUUUAACAAAAACAUGUCUUUUUGAAUAUAAUAUAAAGUCUGACCUGCCCACUGAAUAUAUUUUGAAGGGCCGCGGUAUUUUGACUGUGCAAAGGUAGCAUAAUCAAUAGUCUUUUAAUUGAAGGCUUGUAUGAAUGGUUGGAUGAGGUAUUAACUGUCUCUAAUUAAAAAAUAUAUGAAUUUAAUUUUUAAGUUAAAAAGCUUAAAUAAAUUUAGAGGACGAGAAGACCCUAUAGAUCUUUAUAAUUAUAUUUAUAUUUAAUUUAUUGAAAUAAUUUAUUUAUUAUAAAUAAAAUUAUUUAAUUGGGGUGAUUAAAAAAUUUAAUAAACUUUUUUAUAAAUUAACAUAGAUUUAUGAAUAAUUGAUCCAAUAUUAUUGAUUAUAAGAUUAAGUUACCUUAGGGAUAACAGCGUAAUUUUUUUAGAGAGUUCUUAUCGAUAAAAAAGAUUGCGACCUCGAUGUUGAAUUAAAGGUAAAUUUUAGGUGCAAAAGUUUAAAAUUUUGGUCUGUUCGACCAUUAAAUCUUUACAUGAUUUGAGUUCAAACCGGUGUAAGCCAGGUUGGUUUCUAUCCUUAAAUUAAAAAUAAUAUUUUAGUACGAAAGGACCAAAUAUUAAAAAUAUUUUUUUUUAUAUAGAAUAAUAAUAAUAAUAA